CACGUAGGGCGCAAGCGUUGUCCGGAAUUAUUGGGCGUAAAGAGCUCGUAGGUGGUUUGUUACGUCUGCUGUGAAAACCUAGGGCUCAACCCUGGGCCUGCAGUGGAUACGGGCAGACUAGAGGUAGGUAGGGGAGAAUGGAAUUCCCGGUGUAGCGGUGAAAUGCGCAGAUAUCGGGAGGAACACCGGUGGCGAAGGCGGUUCUCUGGGCCUUACCUGACACUGAGGAGCGAAAGCGUGGGGAGCGAACAGG
rnacentral:rRNA from 1 species